AGAGUUUGAUCCUGGCUCAGGAUGAACGCUAGCGGCAGGCCUAAUACAUGCAAGUCGAACGAUACCAAUGGGCUUGCUCAUUGGAAAAGUGGCGCACGGGUGCGUAACGCGUAUGAAACCUACCUUUAUCUGGGGGAUAGCCUUUCGAAAGAAAGAUUAACACCGCAUAACAUCACGAAAGGGCAUCCUUUUUUGAUCAAAUAUUUAUAGGAUAAAGAUGGUCAUGCGUGACAUUAGCUAGUUGGAGAGGUAAUGGCUCACCAAGGCGACGAUGUCUAGGGGAUCUGAGAGGAUGACCCCCCACACUGGUACUGAGACACGGACCAGACUCCUACGGGAGGCAGCAGUAAGGAAUAUUGGUCAAUGGGCGCAAGCCUGAACCAGCCAUGCCGCGUGCAGGAAGACGGCCCUACGGGUUGUAAACUGCUUUUAUUCGUGAAUAAAUCACCUUACGUGUAAGGUGUUGAAAGUAGCGAAAGAAUAAGGAUCGGCUAACUCCGUGCCAGCAGCCGCGGUAAUACGGAGGAUCCAAGCGUUAUCCGGAUUUAUUGGGUUUAAAGGGUGCGUAGGCGGAUUAUUAAGUCAGAGGUGAAAUUUUGCGGCUCAACCGUAAGCUUGCCUUUGAUACUGAUAAUCUUGAAUUAACUUGAGGUAGGCGGAAUGUGACAAGUAGCGGUGAAAUGCAUAGAUAUGUCACAGAACACCAAUUGCGAAGGCAGCUUACUAAGGUUAUAUUGACGCUGAGGCACGAAAGCGUGGGGAUCAAACAGGAUUAGAUACCCUGGUAGUCCACGCCCUAAACGAUGAAUACUCGAUGUUAGCGAUAUACAGUAGCGUCAAAGCGAAAGCGU
rnacentral:rRNA from 1 species